rnacentral:rRNA from 1 species
AACGAACGCUGGCGGCAUGCCUAACACAUGCAAGUCGAACGAAGCCUUCGGGCUUAGUGGCGCACGGGUGCGUAACGCGUGGGAAUCUGCCCUUUGGUUCGGAAUAACAGUUGGAAACGACUGCUAAUACCGGAUGAUGACGAAAGUCCAAAGAUUUAUCGCCAGAGGAUGAGCCCGCGUAGGAUUAGCUAGUUGGGGUGGUAAAGGUGCACCAAGGCGACGAUCCUUAGCUGGUCUGAGAGGAUGAUCAGCCACACUGGGACUGAGACACGGCCCAGACUUCUACGGGAGGCAGCAGUGGGGAUAUUGGACAAUGGGCGAAAGCCUGAUCCAGCAAUGCCGCGUGAGUGAUGAAGGCCCUAGGGUUGUAAAGCUCUUUUACCCGGGAUGAUAAUGACAGUACCGGGAGAAUAAGCCCCGGCUAACUCCGUGCCAGCCGCCGCGGUAA